rnacentral:rRNA from 1 species
GUGCCAGCAGCCGCGGUAAAACGUAGGAGACAAACGUUAUCCGGAGUUACUGGGCGUAAAGGGCGUGCAGGCGGUCGACUAAGUCUGGCGUGAAAGCUCGCGGCUAAACCGCGAGAGGUCGUUGGAUACUGGUUGACUAGAGGACGGUAGAGGCGUGUGGAAUUCCGGGUGUAGUGGUGAAAUGCGUAGAGAUCCGGAGGAACACCAGUGGCGAAGGCGACACGCUGGGCCGUACCUGACGCUAAAACGCGACAGCAUGGGGAGCGAACGGGAUUAGAAACCCCCGUAGUCC